AGUGGAAGCAUGGUCAUCGAUAUCUUCACCCUGGGAAGGCAACAGUACCUAAGACAGAAAUUUGGGGAAAACUAGCCAAGAUGUACAAGACCACACCAGAUGUCGUCUUUGUAUUUGGAUUCAGAACCCAUUUUGGUGGUGGGAAGACAACAGGCCUGACU